UCAGACGAUGCGUCAUGCAUAUCAAUAAGCGGAGGAAAAGAAACUAACAAGGAUUCCCCUAGUAACGGCGAGUGAAGCGGGAAGAGCUCAAAUUUGAAAUCUUAAAGGGUUUCCCUUUACGAAUUGUAGUUUAAAGAAGUGUUUUCUGUUGAGGUUUUGGUAAAAGUUCUUUGGAAUAGGACAUCAUAGAGGGUGAGAAUCCCGUAUUUGACCUUUACUUUCAACUUUGUGAUACACUUUCAAAGAGUCGGAUUGUUUGGGAAUGCAGUCCAAAAUGGGUGGUAAAUUUCAUCUAAAGCUAAAUAUUGGCGAGAGACCGAUAGCGAACAAGUACCGUGAGGGAAAGAUGAAAAGAACUUUGAAAAGAGGGUUAAACAGUACGUGAAAUUGUCAAAAGGGAAGCGUUUGACACCAGUGCUGUUUUUCUGAAAAUCAAUUAAAAAACUGUUUAUGCUAAGCUGUUUAGACUUUAUCAGCUAUCUGUUUAGUUUUGAGCUUUUCUUUAAUGCACUUUUCAGUUAACAAGUCAACAUCAAUUUCUUUUGCUGUAAAAAAGCUUGAGGAAGGUGGCUUGAGAUUCGUCUUAAGUGUUUAUAGCCUCUUGCCUAUGCAGUCGGAGAGAUUGAGGUCUGCAGCGUAGAUCCUUCGGGGCUAAAUGCAUUUGUGCUAAGUUAUAGCAUUUUAUAGACAACUUGUUGACUAUGAUUUGUCUUGUAGCUUACUCGCUUAUGUUAUUUUACCUACGCUUAGGAUGUUGAGCGCAUGUCUCUCUCU
rnacentral:rRNA from 1 species